rnacentral:tRNA from 1 species
GCGGGUGUAGUUCAAUGGUAGAACAUCAGCCUUCCAAGCUGGAUACCCGGGUUCGAUUCCCGGUACCCGCUCCA